UUAAUUUCUAUGGCAUCUUGAGCGUGACUAGGAGAUCAUGUAAGAUGCAUGAAGUUGUCAUCUCCACAUUUAUAAGUAUGAGCAAGGUCUCCAUUACGUAAAGGCAUCCCUUACGCUUUGGUCCCGUAGCUGCAACCCAACACCGAGUCAUAAGUUUUUGUUCUUUGGUAGGGUCUAAAAGAGUGAGUUGUGAUUCACCAACACUUGAUGCAACAUUAGACCUAGCUUGAGAUAGUUCAUCCCCAAAUUCUUCUAGUCAUUCAUAAACAAUUAUUAUUUCAUAAAUAUAAUAAACAUUUUAAAGAAUAAAAAACAUGCAAGAUAAUGGUCUCACAUGUGUCUGCCUAGAUCUAUCAUCGACAAAUUGACAUGUAUCAUUUCGUAAAUGAGUUUGCUAAAAAAACUCAUCAUGCAGAUCGACCAAGUUACUCUAACUAUUAACAAACAUUAUAAAAUAGACAUUGAACAUUCUUGAUAAAUUUAUGCUUAUUUGAUAGGAUUGAUGGAUUGAACAUUCUCGAUAAAUUAAUAGGCAUUGUGUUAUUUCACUGCCAUUUUAAACUGGGUACUAUCUUUUAUACAUUUCAAGCAAUGAUUGUGGUUGGGUCAAAUGUUAAUUGUUUAAUAAUUGCAGGUUGAUGCAGCUCUUGAUUUGAGCCACAAAUAAGACAUAGGGAGAAUGAUAAAGGCUCACUUUCCAUACUCGUAGAGGAUAAUUGUUGAUGUUGUCAUGUGAUUUCUUUGAUUUCUUGCAAUCUUGUCUUUCCAAUUCUAAAAAAAUAAUAGACACAAACCUCGUAAUUGUAGCUUACCAAAAAUAUUAAAAACAGAAAUGUCUUUUUGUCCUUUUGACACGAUUGAACAUGUGGAUUUUCAGUUUUUGUUCUAGUUUUAUUUUUGGUUUGUCAAUAUACGUGAUAAUUGAAUGACAAUAAAACAUAAGUGUCUUUUAAUCCAUGUAGUUGAAAAUACCAACUGGAAAAAAAAACUGUGAUAAUUACUAAUAAAGUGUAACACAUUUGAUAAAUAAAAAAAAUUUUAAAUGGUAUGGCCAAAGAUUUGAUUUCUGACCAUACAAAUGAAGAAGAAUCUUAUUGAAAGAGAAAAAAAUUAUUUUGAUAAAUGAUGAUUUCUACGCCUUGAAGAAACUAAUUUCUGGCAUAAAGAUAUCCUUGGAACAGACCAAACAAAAAAAAAACAUGUAGAUUAAUUAGGGUGAAGUUAUUUUAAUUUAAUAAUUAAUAAUUUUAAGUAUAUAGUUACAUUAAAUAUUAAGAGAAAAAACUUUGUGACUUGUAAUAAUCUUAUUUCACUAAAACAAAGAUAAAAAAAUGUGUCAUUGAAAAUGAAAAUGUAUGUGUCUACUAAUUAUUUUUGUAUUCAUAAAAAAAUCAUAUAAACUUUGAAAAUUAAGAGCUAAGAAUUUAAAUAAAUAUUUCUUUUUGUACCAUUGGGAGGAAUGUCAAUGAUACGAAUAGAUAUAAAUAUAAAUGUUUUGGGAAAAGAAAAAUAACUAAGUACAAUAUCACGUGCGAUAUCAUCUUUAGUUUUUGUCACUGACUCAUGGUAUAUAUCUAUAAGGAAAUACAUCUUUAAUUUGAUAUAUUUAAAGUCAAAAUUAUAUUAAUUACGUGAUAAAUUUAGGUUAGAAAUUAUGAUUAAAUGAAUAUCAAUAAAAAUAAAAAGUUUGUAAUUCAUUAAAUGAAUACCAUCCCUACAGAAGGGUGAUCCUAAUAAACAAUUACAAAGGAAGUUCCACGACGAGUAGUUAAAUAGAACUUGAACAACAGAAUCAAAAAACAAGGAAAGAAUUCACUCCACAUAUUGUUGUUGAUCACAACGAAACCACUCUAUUAUGGUGGCUCCUUCUCAUGAUUCUUCCCAACUCCCCUAUUGGUUUCUCCUUGUCUCUGCCCAAUUAACCCUUUUCUUUUCGGGAAUUGCUAGGGGCACCCAACAACAUUGUUGGUGCACCCAGCAAUUUUUCAAAAAUCCCAAAAUAUCCUUGAACGUUUUUCUUUUAUAAAAAGCUAUUUUUUAUUUGUUUUUCAUCGUUGCUUUCUUUGUUUCUCCGUGGUGCUUGUGUUGUGCAAUAUUUCUCCGUGUUGGUUGUGUUUGUGCUCUCCUUUGGUGUGAUAUUUGUCAACUAAGGUACAUAGCUUUUGUGUGUAUCAUUGUUUAUUUUGGGUAGUGGAAUGGUGUAAGUGUUUAAUUUGAAGCAAAUGAAGAACAUUCUUCCGCUGUUGUAGUUACAACUGCGGAAGACAGCUUCUUUCGUGGAAGCUCACGGAAGAUGUCUUUCGCGACAUUCCACAAAAGAAGUUUUCUUCCGCUGUUGUAACUACAACUGUGGAAGACAACUUCUUCCGUGGAUUAAUUUGUUUUAUAAUUUUUAGUUUUAAGAUUAUUUUGAAUGUUAUUUUGGUUAAUUCUAUUUGUAAUUUAUGUGAAACAUAAAAAUAUAUUUCUUGGUUGAAGUGUUGAUUUUUUUGCCUAGGUUAAAGUAUUUUUUGGUUAAAUGAACUUUGUAGGUUAUAAUUUUGAAAUUAUGUAAUUAAAAGUUGAAUUUGGUUGUUGUUAAAAUAUUGAUGUAUAUGUAGAUUAAAUAUUUGUGAGGUUGUCAAAUGUUGAAUUAGUUCGAUAUUCAUAGUUUGUAAAAUUUUUUGGGUUGUUGUAUUGUUCAAAUUAUUUAGUUGAAUAUUGAAUUAGAUGAUAGUUAUGUUUGAAUUAAGAUGGACGAAGAUCAAUGGGCAUAUUACAGUACGAUGUCCGAAGAAGUUGAUAUGGAUUUUCAAGAUGAACAAGAUUGUGGUGUGAAUGAAGGACAUGUUGAUUGUUCAGACGCUUUUAAUACUUCUCACGUAAUCAAGUCGAAUGUGAAAUCAAGAAAUAUCCUGCUAACGUUGAAAGAGCACAACGCCAACAGUUGCACCACAAUCAAACAAAUCUACAAUGCAAGAAGUACAUAUUGUUCUUCAAUCAGAGGAGAUGACACUAAAAUGAAACACCUAAUGAGGCUCCUUGAACGUGACCAAUACAUUCAUUGGCAUAGAUUGAAGGAGCAAGAUGUGAUGCGUGAUUUAUUUUGGUGUCACCCAGAUGCAGUUAAGUUAUGUAACGCAUGUCAUCUUGUUUUUUUGAUAGACAGUACCUACAAAACAAAUAGGUACAGGCUCCCAUUGCUUGACUUUGUGGGGGUGACACCAACCGGGAUGACUUUCUCUGCUGGGUUUGCAUAUUUAGAGGGUGAGCGCGUGAACAAUCUUGUAUGAACAUUGGAACGGUUUCGAGACCUUUUUUUAAGAAACGAUCGCCUUCCUGUUGUUAUUGUCACAGACAGAGACCUAGCCCUAAUGAAUGUUGUGUUUCCAGAGUGUACAAAUUUGUUGUGCAGGUUUCACAUAGACAAGAAUGUGAAGGAAAAGUGCAAAUCGCUAAUUGGUCAGAAGAAUGUCUGGGACUACGUAAUGGAUAGCUGGGGUAACCUGGUAGAUUGUCCUUCGGAACAGGAGUUCACUGAGCACCUUCAAAGCUUUCAAGUAGCGUGUUCCCCGUAGUCAAUGUUCGUUGACUACAUAUGUGAGACAUGGAUUGUCCCACACAAGGAGAAGUUUAUCACGACACAUAUUUAUUACUACUAAAAAAUGUAUGCUACUAAAAACGGCACAUAUUUAUUACUACUAAAAAAGUAAUUUAUGCUGAUACAACUUAGUUUUAUUUAUUAAAUACUAUUUUAAUUCUAAUAUUAUAAAAAACAAUAUCUGUAUAAUAAUAUUAAAAUAAUUAUAAUAUUAUAAAAAAUAACUUUUAAUUCUAAUACUACAUAUCUUUUCCUAAAAUAAAUACUAUAAAUAAUGUUUGUUUUACAUAUAUUUUUUUAAUAAAAUUGUGAUGUCAUCAUUUUUAUUUCUUCUUUCCAUAUUUGAAUGAAUGGAAUAACAUUAUUUUCAAUAUUACAAUUUUUUUCUUUUCCUAAAACAAAUAAUAUUUAUAUAUUUAUAUUAAAUUACAAAGCAGGAGAAAAUCUCCUUGUUAAAUUAUUUUAUCUUCUUUAUUUUUUAUAUUCAAAUACCAUUAUAAAUGUGAUUCAUGUGUGUGGUUUAUAUUUAAAUUUCAAAGCAUAUAUUUAUAGAGAGACAAACAUAAAUCAUAAAUGAUGUAAGUAGAUGUGUUUUAUCACAAACAUAAACAAAUACUAAAAUUAAUAAUUUAAAUACAAUAAAAAUAUAAAUUUUAAUCUAUGCGACGUCUCUGUCGCAGCCUAAGACUUUCAUCUAUGGCGUCACCUCUAACUCUCCUCAGACAACGAGUCAUGAUGUCAUAUAAGUGAGUGUCUUCAGUGACCAUCCUGAGGUUGAUGUCCCGCUCCAAAUCCUCAACAAUUGCUCCUAAAUCCUCAGCCAUCCCCUGACAUCCUUCGCAGUCAACCUGUCACAGUCAAAAUAACAAAGUCAGUAUCACAUUUUUAAAAAAUUUAAAUUAUGAAAAACUACAAAAGUUAUAUUUACCACUGAGGGGUGGCUCGACGAACUCCUCAUCAUGAGGGGGAGGCAGAUGUCUCAGCUCAGCAGUCUAUACAAUCCGCGUGACGAACGAGUGCGAAAUCCGAAAAAAUCACUCCAUGUAGUCUGACGCCACCUGCCCAGGAACUACACAGAGCUCUCCUACAGGCACCAAAUGGUCUGAAAAAUGAAGCCACCAAAGAAUCACAAACCGACGGUGGAGGGACAUUCUGAAUGUAGUCAAACUGUCGAAGAACCCGCUCAGGCCGAACGUACACAACAAUCUGACCCCAUCUGAGCUGACUGUUGUACGACAAUAUCAAGUCAAAGCCCCUGACUCCCCGGUGCUCAACAUAGGGCAUCCAGCACACGUCAGGGCAUCCAUACGUCUCCGAUAUGGGGAUCCCUUGAUCCCCCGUCAUAUGAGUUUUACCCGUAAGCCACCUGCAGUCGCUCCCCAGACGAAACCCCCUGCCUGGGCCAGGUCCCUGAAAGCCUUCAGGUGCACGACAUGUACAUGGGUUGAACUCUUGUUGGUGAAAAGAGUACAACCCAUCAAGUGGAGUAGAUACGUGCUGGCUGCUACAACCCAUUGUCUAUCCCUGCACUGGCUCUCAUACACGUCUCGAAGCCACCCCAACCGGACAUGAGGUCCACCAGUUUUCAAUGGCAAGAGGUUGAUCUUAUACACAAAUUUGACAUGACAAUGUCACAUAUAUCAUAAGUGACAAUGUCACACAUAUCAUGAGAACAUCAUGUCCAAGAAACAUUGAAAAUUUAAUUUGACCAAAUUAGUAAGAAACAUACAAAACAUGUGUUUGAACAAAUUUGUAAUGACAAAGCUUUGUUACCAAUUAUUUGAAUAUUUAAUUUGACUACUAAAAGUAAAUGUUCUUCAUGAUUUCAAAUCAUGGUUAGAACACGAGGUCUAGGUCGUGUGUUAGGAACUGGUAGAGGAAGAGAGUUGAGUCAGGAUGCGCCUAAGGCUGAUGUUCCUCGACGUCGCAGGCCUACUUCUUCAGCACGUAGGCAAUGGAUUCGUGUGCGUGAGAACGUUACAGAGAGACCUGAGGAUGUGCCUCAGUUGCAUGAGGAUGUUCCUCAUGUGUCUGAUACUACCCCGGAGAUGACAGGCACUGCCGAUGCUAUUCACACAGAGGGAGUGGCUACUGAUGAGAGCUUGGGGUCACCUGCUACAGAUGAGGGAUUCCCAGGUGAGCCACGCGACCCAUCGAUUUUGACCGAUUUUGCUGAGCAUGUCACACACAGCAUCUGGAGUGGAUAAGUUCGUACUUUUUAAUGUUGAGUAAUUACAUAAAAAUUAUUUGUAGUUGGAUUGUUUUUUAUAUACACGUUAUUAUAAAUUAUUCAAUUUAGAAACGAUUCGAUCUAAAGUUGGUCUCCCAUGGUAGAAAAGUAGAUAAAAUUGGGAGACCAACACCUGAGAUCGAAGGCAUGAUUGUUGUCACCGGAUUGAGUCCACUAAUCAGAUGUUCUGUUAUCACCACUGAUCCUGGACUCAUAUCCGCCUUCGUCGAGAGGUGGCAUCGCGAGAAUAGCACGUUCCACCUGCCAAUAGGCGAGUUGACGAUCACGGUGGAUGACGUGGCGUCACUCCUACACGUUCCCAUCACUGGCGCGCUUCAUAAGUUUGAGCCGCUGGUUACUUCAAACGUGAUUGGUCUACUGACAGAGCUUCUUGAGGUCAAUCAUAAGGAGUCUACAGCUUAGUCCCGACAGGCUGGUGGGCCUCAUGUCCGGUUGGGGUGGUUUCGGGACAUGUAUGAGAGCCAGUGCAAGGCCAGACGAUGGGUUGUAGCAGCCCGCACGCAUCUGCUCCACUUGGUGGGUUGUACUCUUUUCGCAAACAAGAGUUCAACCCAUGUACAUGUCGUGCACCUGGAGGCUUUCAGGGACCUGGCCCAGACAUAGGGAUUCGCUUGGGGAGCAAUUGCAUUGGUCAAGGGAGCCCCAUAUCAGAGACGUAUGGAUGCCCAGACUGUGACUGACGUGUGCUGGAUGCCCUAUGCUGAGCAUCGCGGAGUCAAGGGAUUUGACUUGAUAUUGUCGUACACAGGCCAGCUCAGAUAGGGUCAGAUUGUCGUGUACGUUCGACCUGAGCGGGUUCUUCGACAGUUUGGCUACAUUCAGAAUGUCCCUCCGCCGUCGGUUUGUGAUUCUUUGACGGGUGAUGAUAUAGAUGACCGGUGACUGCAUUUUUCAGACCAUUUGGUGCCUGCAGGAGAGCUCUGUGUAGUUCUUAGGCAAGUGGCGCCAGACUACAUGGAGUGGUUUUUUCGAAUUUCGCACUCAUUCUUCACGCAGAUUGAGGAGACUGCUGAGCCGAGACAUCUGCCUCCCCCUCAUGAUGAGGAGUUCGUCAAGCCACUCAUCCCCAAGGUUUCAGUCGCGUCCGAUCUCCAUACGCAUUCAGUGGUAAGCAUAAUUUGUGUAGUUUUUCAUAAUUUAAAUUUUUUAAAAAUAUGAUACCGACUUGUUAUUUUGACUAUGACAGGUUAACUGCGAAAGAUGUCAGGGGAUGGCUGAGGAUUUAGGAGCGAUUAUUGAGGAUUUGGAGCGGGUCAUCAACCUCAGGAUGGUCACUGAAAGCACUGACUUAUAUGACAUCAUGACUCGUUGUCUGAGGAGAGCUAGAGGUGACGCCGCAAAUGAAAGUCUUAGACUGUGACAGACACGCCGCAUAGAUUAGGAUUUAUAUUUUUAUUGUAUAUAAAUUAUUAAUUUUAGUAUUUGUUUAUUUGUGAUAAAACACAUUUACUUACAUGAUUUAUGAUUUUUGUUUCUCUCUUUAUAAAUAUAUGCUUUUAAAUUUAAAUAUAAACCACACACGAGUCACAUUUAUAAUGGUAUUUAAAUAUAUAAAAUAAAGAAGAUAAAAUAAGUUAACAAUGAGAUUUUCUCCUGCUUUGUAAUUUAAUAUAAAUAUAUAAAUAUUAUUUGUUUUAGAAAAAAAAUUGUCAUAUUGAAAAUAAUGUUAUUCCAUUCAUUUAAAUAUGGAAAGAAAAAAUAAAAAUGAUGACAUCACAAUUUUAUUAAAAAAGAAUAUGUAAAACAAACUUAUUAUUUAUAGUAUUUAUUUUAGGAAAAGAUAUAUAGUAUUAGAAUUAAAAGUUAUUUUUUAUAAUAUUAUAAUUAUUUUAAUAUUAUUAUACAUAUAUUAUUUUUUUUAUAAUAUUAGAAUUAAAAUAGUAUUUAAUAAAUAAAACUAAGUUGUAUCAAUAUAAAUUAUUUUUUUAGUAGUAAUAAAUGUCUUUUUUAGUAGCGUACCUUGACACCAUUCCCAGUGGUCUCUUGUAUGAGGUUUUCUUAAAAACAUGACCAACGACAUGCAUACCUGUUUCGAAUGAUGCUCUAAUUUCAUUGUGCUGCAGCGUCAUCAUGUAUGUUGUUCAUUGCAUCCCAAACACAACAGAUGUCUCCAACGCUACUCUGUAAUACCUUUUUCAGAGACCAAUGAGCAUAUUCAACC
rnacentral:lncRNA from 1 species